CUACGGGCUGCUGCAGUGAGGAAUAUUGGUCAAUGGACGAGAGUCUGAACCAGCCAAGUCGCGUGAAGGAAGAAGGUUCUAUGGAUUGUAAACUUCUUUUGUAAGGGAAUAAAAGAGUUACGUGUAACUUAUUGUAUGUACUUUACGAAUAAGGAUCGGCUAACUCCGUGCCAGCAGCCGCGGUAAUACGGAGGAUCCAAGCGUUAUCCGGAUUUAUUGGGUUUAAAGGGUGCGUAGGCGGUUGUUUAAGUCAGUGGUGAAAGUUUGCAGCUCAACUGUAAAAUUGCCAUUGAAACUGAAUAACUUGAGUGUAAAUGAGGUAGGCGGAAUGUGUUGUGUAGCGGUGAAAUGCUUAGAUAUAACACAGAACACCAAUUGCGAAGGCAGCUUACUAGGAUACAACUGACGCUGAGGCACGAAAGCGUGGGGAUCAAACAGGAUUAGAUACCCUAGUAGUC
rnacentral:rRNA from 1 species